rnacentral:rRNA from 1 species
UAAUACGUAGGGUGCAAGCGUUAUCCGGAAUCACUGGGCGUAAAGCGUGCGUAGGUGGCGUGUUAAGUGUGAUGUUAAAACGUGGGGCUCAACCCUGUCGGUGCAUCACAUACUGGCAUGCUAGAGGACGGCAGAGGCAAGUGGAACUGGUAGUGUAGCAGUGAAAUGCGUAGAUAUUACCAAGAACACCAAUGGCGAAGGCAGCUUGCUGGGCCACUCCUGACACUGAGGUACGAAAGCGUGGGGAGCGAACAGGAUUAGAUACCCUGGUAGUCCACGCCGUAAACGAUGCAUACUAGUCUUAUGGGGUAUCGACCCCCUGUGAGACGCAGCUAACGCGAUAAGUAUGCCGCCUGGGAAGUACGGCCGCAAGGCUA